ensembl:lncRNA
UAAAAUUUUAAAAAGAAUGAUACGAUCAGUUUUUUUUUUCAGUACCGGCUGUACCAAGUAUUCUCCUGCUUUCUGAUUGACUUUCUUUUCCAUGCUGAGGGAGGUGUUGACUAAAUUAGAGAUGGUGCUGGACCAACAAACCACUGAGCUUGCUUCAACUACAGGUGUUCCAGGUGCAGUCUUUGGAUACUGAUGAAGAUUUACUGCCCUGCAAGAUCUUCCUCAACUGCAUAGUCUGGAGCGAAGGAUGCAACAGAGCCCAGAUUACAAGCAAAAACUGGUGACACACUCGUACUCAAAGCACAACAUUCAACACCACUUUGAUAUGAGGGAACAGUUAUGACCUAAUCUUUGGUAGAGGAGCAAAACAUGGAAAACACACAGGGCAGGGUACCUGCAGGAGUAGUGAGAAGCACUGACACAGUUGACAAGGGCGGAUGUGCUCGACUGCACCUGGCGCAUACUGAAGAGGGUGAUUGCUAACUCCCUG